AAUUUACUUUCGUUAUGUUGGGGGAUAUCUUGUUUAAUAUUAACGUUGAGUGAGUGAGUUUGUGUAGUUUUAUUUAAGCCAAGUCUAUGUGCUGCUUAUGAAAGUAUUCAUGCGUUACAUUUAUAAGGUUUUGGUUGUCAUACUAAAAUAUUUAGGACUUAAAAGUAAUGUUCAAUAAGUUUGUGAGUGUGAAGUAAGUUUAGCUUUGUUACCCCCCC
rnacentral:rRNA from 1 species